rnacentral:tRNA from 1 species
AGAAACUUAGGUUAGUCCAAACCGAAGGCCUUCAAAGCCUUAAACAAGAGUUAGACCCUCUUAGUUUCUG